UACGUAGGGUGCAAGCGUUGUCCGGAAUUAUUGGGCGUAAAGAGCUCGUAGGCGGUCUGUUGCGUCCGCUGUGAAAACUCGGGGCUUAACCCCGAGCCUGCAGUGGAUACGGGCAGACUAGAGGUAGGUAGGGGAGAAUGGAAUUCCCGGUGUAGCGGUGAAAUGCGCAGAUAUCGGGAGGAACACCGGUGGCGAAGGCAGGUCUCUGGGCAUUAACUGACGCUGAGGAGCGAAAGCAUGGGGAGCGAACAGG
rnacentral:rRNA from 1 species